rnacentral:rRNA from 1 species
GGCGAGAAGGUCACACCCGUUCCCAUACCGAACACGGAAGUUAAGCUUCUCAGCGCCGAUGGUAGUUGGGACUUUGUCCCUGUGAGAGUAGGACGUUGCCAGGC